rnacentral:rRNA from 5 species
UGGAGCUGAAAUCAGUCGAAGAUACCAGCUGGCUGCAACUGUUUAUUAAAAACACAGCACUGUGCAAACACGAAAGUGGACGUAUACGGUGUGACGCCUGCCCGGUGCCGGAAGGUUAAUUGAUGGGGUUAGCGCAAGCGAAGCUCUUGAUCGAAGCCCCGGUAAACGGCGGCCGUAACUAUAACGGUCCUAAGGUAGCGAAAUUCCUUGUCGGGUAAGUUCCGACCUGCACGAAUGGCGUAAUGAUGGCCAGGCUGUCUCCACCCGAGACUCAGUGAAAUUGAACUCGCUGUGAAGAUGCAGUGUACCCGCGGCAAGACGGAAAGACCCCGUGAACCUUUACUAUAGCUUGACACUGAACAUUGAGCCUUGAUGUGUAGGAUAGGUGGGAGGCUUAGAAGUGUGGACGCCAGUCUGCAUGGAGCCGACCUUGAAAUACCACCCUUUAAUGUUUGAUGUUCUAACGUUGACCCGUAAUCCGGGUUGCGGACAGUGUCUGGUGGGUAGUUUGACUGGGGCGGUCUCCUCCUAAAGAGUAACGGAGGAGCACGAAGGUUGGCUAAUCCUGGUCGGACAUCAGGAGGUUAGUGCAAUGGCAUAAGCCAGCUUGACUGCGAGCGUGACGGCGCGAGCAGGUGCGAAAGCAGGUCAUAGUGAUCCGGUGGUUCUGAAUGGAAGGGCCAUCGCUCAACGGAUAAAAGGUACUCCGGGGAUAACAGGCUGAUACCGCCCAAGAGUUCAUAUCGACGGCGGUGUUUGGCACCUCGAUGUCGGCUCAUCACAUCCUGGGGCUGAAGUAGGUCCCAAGGGUAUGGCUGUUCGCCAUUUAAAGUGGUACGCGAGCUGGGUUUAGAACGUCGUGAGACAGUUCGGUCCCUAUCUGCCGUGGGCGCUGGAGAACUGAGGGGGGCUGCUCCUAGUACGAGAGGACCGGAGUGGACGCAUCACUGGUGUUCGGGUUGUCAUGCCAAUGGCACUGCCCGGUAGCUAAAUGCGGAAGAGAUAAGUGCUGAAAGCAUCUAAGCACGAAACUUGCCCCGAGAUGAGUUCUCCCUGACUCCUUGAGAGUCCUGAAGGAACGUUGAAGACGACGACGUUGAUAGGCCGGGUGUGUAAGCGCAGCGAUGCGUUGAGCUAACCGGUACUAAUGAACCGUGAGGCUUAACCUU